rnacentral:rRNA from 1 species
UUUGAGAGUUUGAUCCUGGCUCAGGAUGAACGCUGGCGGCGUGGAUAAGGCAUGCAAGUCGAGUGGGUUUAGACCCACGGCAAACGGGUUAGUAACGCGUAGGAACGUACCCUCGAGUCGUGAACAACCCGGAGAAAUCCGGGAUAAUACACGAUGUGCUCUAUGGAGCAAAGAUUUAUCGCUUGAGGAGCGGCCUGCGUCCUAUCAGCUUGUUGGUGAGGUAAUGGCUCACCAAGGCUAUGACGGGUAGGGGGCGUGAGAGCGUGACCCCCAACAUUGGAACUGAGACACUGUCCAAACUCCUACGGGAGGCUGCAGUCGAGAAUAUUCCACAAUGGGCGAAAGCCUGAUGGAGCGACGCCGCGUGCAGCAAAUCUCUGAGCUUAACUCGGAAACUGCAUUUGAAACGGUAUGUCUAGAGAAAGUGAGAGACCAAUGGAACUCAUGGUGUAGUAGUGAAAUGCGUUGAUAUCAUGAGGAACACCUAAGGCGAAGGCAUUUGGUUGGCACUUUUCUGACGCUGAGUCGCGAAAGCGUGGGUAGCGAAUGGGAUUAGAUACCCCAGUAGUCCACGCUGUAAACUUUGCAUACUAGAUGUGAGCGCGUUAAGUAUGCCGCCUGGGAAGUACGAGCGCAAGCUUAAAACUCAAAGGAAUAGACGGGGAUCCGCACAAGUGGUGGAGCAUGUGGUUUAAUUCGACGAUAAGCGAGGAACCUCACCAGGGCUUGAAACUAUACUGCAUUAUGUAGAAAUACAUAAGCCUUCGAGGGUGUAUAGCAGGCGCUGCAUGGUUGUCGUCAGCUCGUGCCGUAAGGUGUUCCGUUAAGUCGGGUAACGAGCGCAACCCCUGUCGUGUGUUAUAUAUGUCACGCGAGACUGCCCAGACUGAAACGCACUUCGUGCUUAAUUUUCAAUUAUCAAUUUUAAAUUUUCAUUCAAUUUUCAAUGAUUUAAUUUUCAAUUUAGAAAUUUAGAUAUUAGAAUAUUGUUUAGAAAUUAGAAAUUAGAAAUUAGAAAUUGAGUGCUUAGUAAAGCGCGUUGCAGUCUGGGAGGAAGGAGGGGAUGACGUCAAAUCAGCAUGGCCCUUUGACGCCCUGGGCGACACACGUGCUACAAUGGCCGGUACAAUGGGUUGCCAAACCGCGAGGUGGAGCUAAUCCCAAAAAGCCGGUCUCAGUUCGGAUUGGAGUCUGCAACUCGACUCCAUGAAGCUGGAAUCACUAGUAAUCGGGAAUCAGCCACGUCCCGGUGAAUACGUUCUCGGAUCUUGUACUCACCGCCCGUCACACCAAGAGAGUCGGUAACACCCGAAGACCCCGCAUCAAACCGGGGGCUACGGUGGGAUCGAUGAUAAGGGUGAAGUCGUAACAAGGCAUCGGUAGCGGAAGCUGUCGAUGGAUCACCUCCUU